CCCCUUCCCAGCCCUCAUUUAAGGGUUGGCAGUGGAAGCAAGAGUGUUUUGCUGGAGAUCCCUGUGUGCUUGAGGCCUUCUGAAGUGAAUGCCUCCAGGCUUCCCCUGCAGCAUCGUGUGGCACUGUGUCAUCUUUACAGAGAGGCUGGCCAGCAUCCCUGCACGGGGAUGUUUUGCCUGGAAAAUCCAUGGAAAACACUGGGAAUCAGAGGCCUGGAAAUCAGCCUAGGCUCACAUAGAAGACUGAGCAGGAGCUGCAGGCACCCACAUGGAGGGCAGAAAGCCUAUGCUCUAAGUGUGGGGAAAACGCACAAAAAUAUAAGGAACGUGCCAAUUGCUGUGAGAAAUGGACAAGAGUGAUGCUAAUAGAAAAAGGUGAAGUACUGCAAGAGAGGAAGCGCUGAUUACAGGCACAGCAGUGCAUAUAUUAACCUUAGGCUGUGUUGAAAAAUAUUCCAGCAACAAGUGCAAAUUCCUGCAUGGGCCAUUAGAAAGCUGCACCUUGCUCUUAUUGCUCUGGCUACAGAUGGACACGGUGAAAAUGUGAGCGCCUGGAGGUUGUCCCCUGUCUGAUGGGACAGACUGUCAUCACUUCUAUCCACUGCUGUCACAGAAUGGUGGGUCAGUAUUCCCCACAAGGCUGCCCCCAAGCAGAACACGCCAUCAGCAGUACCACAGUAUGAUGAAUUAACCAUGGGCUACGGUUAAUAAUGCAUUUGUCACAUUACCUUAUCACUGCUGUAGCUUGUAUCACAAUAAAUUAGUCAAAUCCUGACCUGCUUGCACGCAGCAGGAGUGAGGCAGUUCUCCUGCGUGAACACCUAGGGAUUUGCUCUCCG
rnacentral:lncRNA from 1 species